GACAGAGGGUGCGAACGUUGUUCGGAAUUACUGGGCGUAAAGCGCGUGUAGGCGGCAACGCAAGUCGGGCGUGAAAUCCCAUGGCUCAACCAUGGAAGUGCACUCGAAACUGCGUCGCUAGAGUCCUGGAGAGGAAGGUGGAAUGCUUGGUGUAGAGGUGAAAUUCGUAGAUAUCAAGCGGAACGCCGGUGGCGAAGGCGGCCUUCUGGACAGUGACUGACGCUGAGACGCGAAAGCGUGGGGAGCAAACAGG
rnacentral:rRNA from 1 species